CUCAGAGUGGUUUUGAGCUGCUAUCUUCAAAAGGGUAACCUUUUAAUAAAUAGCUCUACUAUCGAUCUGAGAACUGUACAUGUCUUUUUAUUAAUCAAACUUAUUUCUACCUGUCUCAUGAAACAAAAAUUCUUAUUAAUCUGUAUUCAAAUUUGGUAUAUUGUGAUAAAGCACUGACAAAAAGCAACAUGAGAAGGAAUGUAUUUAUUUUAUCUUACUCUUCCAGAUCAUGGUCCAUCAUUGAGAGAAGCCAGGACAGGAACUCAAGGCAAGAGCCUGAAGAGAGAACUGCUUGCUUUUCAGUGCAGCAUUACCUUUAGCCAGUUCCCAUCAAGUUUAUAAAAACAACCAAGUUGAGACUCUUCCUUCCCCCUCCACCGGCCCGACCUCUCCUAAGACUUAUCUUCGAGGACACUGGCAGCAGACUCUACAGAGAAGAGAGGAGGAAGAGACCGAUUUUGUGCUGCUUGUCCCUGCUUAUAUUCUGAGUGUGCCUGCUAUGUCACUUCCUGCCUGGAUCACAAGACUUAUCUUUACUACAUUUGCCAUAACCCUCCUAGAUUCUUAGUCCCACCUAACUUGCUUCCCUAUUGGCCAACAGUACUUUAU
rnacentral:lncRNA from 1 species